UUUUUGGAAACUAUUCCUUUAAAACAAUCCUAGCUCAGGAAUUUCAUUGGUGUAAUUGCUUUGUUGCCGAGUGAUGCGAUGUAGAGGUAUGUAUAUAUGUCAUAGCAGAAGCUUAUUUCAACAUACCCCUCUCUGAUUCUCUUUUCUUUAAGGCCCCACCCAGAGGAGGAUGAGGGGGGGAGGAAGAUAGGAGCUUGCAGCCAGCAGAGACUGCAGGCUGGGAGGACGCCAUUGCUGUUAUGGCACGAGGAGCGCCGAUCGUCCCUGAAUUGCCUGCCGAAUCUUCUCUGCGCUCAUGUGCCAGCACGGCCAGCAUGAAGGUCAAGAACGUCAAAAAAUUGUCCCUCACCAAAGGCCAUUUUCCCAGGCUGGCAGAAUGUGCCCACUUCCACUAUGAGAUUGUUGACUUUGGCUCUGUGCAGGUAAGGGUUUUAGGGUAAAUGCAGUCCUGCUGAAGGCCAUGAUCACUCAUGGUUGACGGAAAUGUGUUAAUUAGGCUCUUGGCUGUUCUUCGUUUCACUGGUGGCGGAUUAUCCAUCAUGUUGAAAUUAGGGCUGUGGUUUAAGUUACAUGCAAUACACAUUAGUCUCUGUCAGGUUAGUUGCUAUCCUGCAAGAUCCUCAGACUGUGGAAAACACCUUGGCUAGCUGAUUGGAUUUCAACACCAUUGUCCCU